UGGCAUACAAUGGUGGAUCUCAUCAUGCUGGAAUUCCCCAGCAUCACACUGGACUAUCCAUCUCUCCAAUCCUACUCCACCCAGACCUGGCAUGCAGUGGGAAUUUCCAUUCAUUUGACUGGGGAUUCCCAACCUACAGAUUACAAGGAAAUCAAGGGCUACUUACCUGUUACCAAGGAAAGGAAUGAAUAUUGGGUCUAGGAAACAGAUUAUGAAGAAGAUGCUUUUUGGUGAGAAUACAAAAUCUUCAGUGCAGAAUUGGUGAAUCUGAGAUCCAUCAGAAAGAUCUUCUUGGAUCUUUCUCUGUUUCCUAUGAAAAGCCUAUGUAAUGAUUCAGGCAGGAAGAAACACUGAAGACCACUUGGUGCCAGUGAAAGAACACCUCAGCAUGGCAUGGUGCCUGGAAGCAAGAACAGGACAAAAUACUGUUAACAAAAGACAAUUGGUAUAAAAAUUAGUAGCAAUAAUUCAAUGCUGAAAAAAUCAGAAACUCUGCUCUCUGUGUUUAA